UGGCCAGAUAGCUCAGUCGGUAGAGCGUCCGCCUGAAAAGUGGAAGGUCAGCGGUUCGAUCCCGCUUCUGGCCACAAU
rnacentral:tRNA from 1 species